ensembl:misc_RNA Metazoa_SRP Metazoan signal recognition particle RNA
GCCAGGCAUGGUGGUGCAUGCCUGUAGUCCCAGCUACUCUGGAGGCUGAGGCAGGCGGAUCACUUAAGCCCAGGAGUUUGAGACUGCAGUGAGCCAUGACCAUGCCACUGCACUCUAGUCUGGGCAAUAGAAUGAGACCCUGUCUCCA